GACGAACGCUGGCGGCGUGCUUAACACAUGCAAGUCGAACGGAAAGGCCCUGCUUUUGUGGUGUGCUCGAUUGGCGAACGGGUGAGUAACACGUGAGUAACCUGCCCUUGACUUUGGGAUAACUUCAGGAAACUGGGGCGAAUACCGGAUAGGAGCUUCUGCUGCAUGUUGUGGGUUGGAAAGUUUCGGCGGUUGGGGAUGGACUCGCGGCUUGUCAGCUUGUUGGUGGGGUAGUGGCUUACCAGGGCUUUGACGGGUAGCCGGCCUGAGAGGGUGACCGGCCACAUUGGGACUGAGAUACGGACCAGACUCCUACGGGAGGCAGCAGUGGGGAAUCUUGCACAAUGGGCGGAAGCCUGAUGCAGCAACGCCGCGUGCGGGAUGACGGCCUUCGGGUUGUAAACAGCUUUCGCCUGUGACGAAGAGUGAGUGACGGUAAUGGGUAAAGAAGCACCGGCUAACUACGUG
rnacentral:rRNA from 1 species